rnacentral:rRNA from 1 species
GACGAACCGAGCGAACGUUGUUCGGAAUCACUGGGCUUAAAGGGCGCGUAGGCGGGCUGUCAAGUCUGGGGUGAAAUCCCGCGGCUCAACCGUGGAACUGCCUCAGAUACUGACGGUCUCGAGGGAGGUAGGGGCGAGCGGAACUGUGAGUGGAGCGGUGAAAUGCGUUGAUAUUCACAGGAACUCCGGUGGCGAAGGCGGCUCGCUGGACCUCUUCUGACGCUGAGGCGCGAAAGCCAGGGGAGCAAACGGG